rnacentral:lncRNA from 1 species
CCAACUCUUUUGGCUAGACUUAUAUUAUGAUUCUGUCAAGCAUGAUUUAUGUUUACCGAGUUAUAUGGGUAUGGUUUUCAAUCGAAGACCAAGUAUGCUAAAAUGUUUUUGUCGUUUAAUGACAGGCACGUGAGGUUGCCACAACUUAAACGUAUACACGUUUAAUGAAUGUAGUGUUGAUCAACAUAGAGUAGUAUGAGCUGAUCACUCAGACGUGCUCGUAAGCUAUGCUGGACUUACGGACUUAGUGUCGGGUUGUCCUUUUUAAAAGAAAUUAUGAACUGCUCAUAGUUCUGAGCCUUAGUUGAUAUUCUACUGAAUAUUGUUGUUGGAAAACAUUUUGAAUGAAAAGAAGUGCUAUUUUGAAUUAUCGAUAGUACUUCGUAACUAUUGUUCAGUUACUGAAGAUAUAUGAGUUCUAUGUUUCAAGCAUGUUGUUUAUUAGAAUUGUAGUACUUGCUGAGCUAGUCAUGCUCACUCUUGCUUGAACCAUAUGAACACAGCUAAGAUCGAGCGGACCGAAGGCUCAGGCAAGG